AUGAGAUUCAGAAGAGAACGCACACUUCCACGAACAAUAUAUCAUCGAAGAGAUAUGUGAAAAACACCUUGAGGAUUGGUUCUAAACAACGUUUACCAUGUUUCAGUCGAUAUUAUGGAGUUAAUUUGGAAAAAAGUUCGGCGUUUUGAUGACUGAAUUUUCGUAUUUUUUUUGGUAGCCAAACGUGACGCACCAAACGGAGCGAUUUCUCCUAAACAAAUAAUCUUUCAGGAAAAACUGAACAUUUGCUAUCUAACUGAGAGUCUCCUCAUUGAAAACAUCAGAAGUUCUUCAAAGCUGUACCUGAUCAGGAUGUUGCCGCUGACCACAAUGCCACUGGUAGAUGCAGUGAUGGCCUACAAACAAGAAAUUACCUCAUAAGGAGGAGAUUCACAUGACAAAAAGCUCCUCCUGCAACCUGCGCAGGACUGUGACCUACCCCAGGAGCAUCCUCUGGAAAGCCACCAUCUCCUCCACACCACCAAGCCUCCUUGUCUGGGGUGGCACUGGUUCGUACAUUAGGGUAUCAUGAUGGAUAAGGAUCCGAGACAGGCGCAUCUCUUCUGUGUCUUCAGUGAUAUCUGUUGAGAAAAUACAAUGAAUCCGCUAUGGAAAUGAUAUGUGUUGUAGGCCUAUUAUAGAAGAAUAAUAAACUUGUGAAAUUAGAAAUCAAACAAACACCUACCUCGGCUUGUUCUUCUGUCAUAUGAUCAUGAUGAUCCAUGGCUGCCACAUCUGAGCACAGAGGCAUAUGGAUGAGGUCUAGUGUUAUUUCUGGAAGGUCAGACACAUCAUGUCAGCAUGACAACAACAUUUCAAGAACCGUAGGCUGUUGAGAGAAGUAACAAGUGUAACGUUAGCUGCACGACUGGAUACUUUUGUAACCAUGAAUGUUUUCUUGCGCCACAGACACAGUUGGUUACUGG
ensembl:lncRNA